rnacentral:rRNA from 1 species
UACGUAGGGUGCGAGCGUUGUCCGGAAUUAUUGGGCGUAAAGAGCUUGUAGGCGGUUUGUCGCGUCUGCUGUGAAAAUCCGGGGCUCAACCCCGGACUUGCAGUGGGUACGGGCAGACUAGAGUGUGGUAGGGGAGACUGGAAUUCCUGGUGUAGCGGUGGAAUGCGCAGAUAUCAGGAGGAACACCGAUGGCGAAGGCAGGUCUCUGGGCCGUAACUGACGCUGAGGAGCGAAAGCAUGGGGAGCGAACAGG